rnacentral:rRNA from 1 species
AGAGUUUGAUCCUGGCUCAGGACGAACGCUGGCGGCGUGCUUAACACAUGCAAGUGGAGCGACGAACCGGGCUUCGGCCCGGGGCAAAGCCGCGAACGGGUGAGUAUCACGUGGGUAACCUGCCCCGAUGACCGGGAUAACCCGAGGAAACUCGGGCUAAUACCGGAUGUGCUCCUCGCACACCUGUGCAAGGAGUAAAGGAAGCUUCGGCCUCCGCAUUGGGAUGGGCCCGCGGCCCAUUAGCUUGUUGGUGAGGUAACGGCUCACCAAGGCGACGAUGGGUAGCUGGUCUGAGAGGACGAUCAGCCACACUGGGACUGAGACACGGCCCAGACUCCUACGGGAGGCAGCAGUGGGGAAUCUUGCGCAAUGCGCGAAAGCGUGACGCAGCAACGCCGCGUGAGGGAAGAAGGCCUUCGGGUUGUAAACCUCUUUCAGGAGGGACGAAGGUUCAGGCGCGAAUAGCGUCCUGGACUGACGGUACCUCCAGAAGAAGCCCCGGCUAACUACGUGCCAGCAGCCGCGGUAAUUC